AUCUAUGGCCAUACCACCCUGAACGUGCCUGAUCUUGGCUGAUCUCAGAAGCUAAGCAGCGUUGGGCCUGGUUAUUACUUGGAUGGGAGACCCCCUGGGAAUACUGGGUGCAGUAGGCU
ensembl:rRNA 5S_rRNA 5S ribosomal RNA